GUGAAAUUGUUGAAAGGGAAACGUUUGACACCAGCUAUGUAGGCGGAAAAUCAGUCAACUGCAGUGAGGGGUGGUUUGGGUUCGGACCGUAAGGCCGGCCUUCGCCCCAUCUUUGUUGCAAGUGAUGCACUUUUUCGUCCGCAGGUCAACAUCAGUUUCGCCCGCUGGACAAAACCCCAAGAGAAGGUAGCAGCUUAGGCUGUGUUAUAGCUCUGGGGCGAUACAGUGGGUGGGACUGAGGAUUCGCAGUGUGUGCUCUCGGGCAAGGCUGACUGGGUGCUCUGGGGUUGUUUGGCGUACAAUGCAUGCAUUUUGCGCCUUGUCUUCUUCAUACUCACUUAGAUCGGUUCUUCCACGCUUAGGAUGUUGACUUAAUGGUUUUAAACGACCCGUCUUGAAACACGGACCAAGGAGUCUAACAUGCAUGCAAGUGUUUGGGUGGCAAACCCAUGCGCGUAAUGAAAGUGAACGUAGGUGCGAUCCGCAAGGUGCAGCAUCGACCGAUCUUGAUAUUUUUGGAUAGAUUUGAGUAAGAGCAUGUAUGCUGGGACCCGAAAGAUGGUGAACUAUGCCUGAAUAGGGUGAAACCAGAGGA
rnacentral:rRNA from 1 species